UACAGAGGUCCCAAGCGUUGUUCGGAUUCACUGGGCGUAAAGGGUGCGUAGGUGGUCGGAUAAGUUUGAUGUGAAAUCUCCGGGCUUAACCCGGAAACUGCAUUGAAUACUAUCUGGCUGGAGGGUUGGAGGGGGGACUGGAAUUCCGGGUGUAGCGGUGGAAUGCGUAGAGAUCCGGAAGAACACCGGUGGCGAAGGCGGUCUGCUGGGGUAAUGCUGACACUGAUGCGCGACAGCGUGGGGAGCAAACAGG
rnacentral:rRNA from 1 species